AGAGUUUGAUCCUGGCUCAGGAUGAACGCUAGCGACAGGCUUAACACAUGCAAGUCGAGGGGCAGCGGGGGUAGCAAUACCCGCCGGCGACCGGCGCACGGGUGAGUAACGCGUAUGCAACUUACCUAUCAGAGGGGGAUAACCCGGCGAAAGUCGGACUAAUACCGCAUGAAGCAGGGAUCCCGCAUGGGAAUAUUUGCUAAAGAUUCAUCGCUGAUAGAUAGGCAUGCGUUCCAUUAGGCAGUUGGCGGGGUAACGGCCCACCAAACCGACGAUGGAUAGGGGUUCUGAGAGGAAGGUCCCCCACAUUGGUACUGAGACACGGACCAAACUCCUACGGGAGGCAGCAGUGAGGAAUAUUGGUCAAUGGCCGAGAGGCUGAACCAGCCAAGUCGCGUGAGGGAUGAAGGUUCUAUGGAUCGUAAACCUCUUUUAUAAGGGAAUAAAGUGUGGGACGUGUCCUAUUUUGUAUGUACCUUAUGAAUAAGGAUCGGCUAACUCCGUGCCAGCAGCCGCGGUAAUACGGAGGAUCCGAGCGUUAUCCGGAUUUAUUGGGUUUAAAGGGUGCGUAGGCGGCCUUUUAAGUCAGCGGUGAAAGUCUGUGGCUCAACCAUAGAAUUGCCGUUGAAACUGGGGGGCUUGAGUAUGUUUGAGGCAGGCGGAAUGCGUGGUGUAGCGGUGAAAUGCAUAGAUAUCACGCAGAACCCCGAUUGCGAAGGCAGCCUGCCAAGCCAUGACUGACGCUGAUGCACGAAAGCGUGGGGAUCAAACAGGAUUAGAUACCCUGGUAGUCCACGCAGUAAACGAUGAUCACUAGCUGUUUGCGAUACACUGUAAGCGGCACAGCGAAAGCGUUAAGUGAUCCACCUGGGGAGUACGCCGGCAACGGUGAAACUCAAAGGAAUUGACGGGGGCCCGCACAAGCGGAGGAACAUGUGGUUUAAUUCGAUGAUACGCGAGGAACCUUACCCGGGCUUAAAUUGCAGAUGAAUUACGGUGAAAGCCGUAAGCCGCAAGGCAUCUGUGAAGGUGCUGCAUGGUUGUCGUCAGCUCGUGCCGUGAGGUGUCGGCUUAAGUGCCAUAACGAGCGCAACCCUUGCCACUAGUUACUAACAGGUGAUGCUGAGGACUCUGGUGGGACUGCCAGCGUAAGCUGCGAGGAAGGCGGGGAUGACGUCAAAUCAGCACGGCCCUUACAUCCGGGGCGACACACGUGUUACAAUGGCGUGGACAAAGGGAAGCCACCUGGCGACAGGGAGCGAAUCCCCAAACCACGUCUCAGUUCGGAUCGGAGUCUGCAACCCGACUCCGUGAAGCUGGAUUCGCUAGUAAUCGCGCAUCAGCCAUGGCGCGGUGAAUACGUUCCCGGGCCUUGUACACACCGCCCGUCAAGCCAUGGGAGCCGGGGGUACCUGAAGUGCGUAACCGCGAGGAGCGCCCUAGGGUAAAACUGGUGACUGGGGCUAAGUCGUAACAAGGUAGCCGUACCGGAA
rnacentral:rRNA from 1 species